AUACCUUUCUCGGCCUCUUGGCUAAGAUCAAGUGUAGUAUCUGUUCUUAUCAGUUUAAUAUCUGAUGCACGGAUUUACGAAUUCAUGAGAUAUUAAGUUAAUUUUUUGUGGGGGAGAAUCUGCCUAUGUAUAGCAGUUCUCAAGCGUCGUCUAAGUGUUGCACUAUUGCUUGGCACAGGCGCAUCCCAA
rfam:Triticum aestivum genome assembly, contig: Triticum_aestivum_CS42_TGACv1_scaffold_080706_1DS